rnacentral:lncRNA from 1 species
UCUUGAAAUAGUCUUGAAAUUAACAUAAAAGUUCCAUUUCCAACCAACAAUUCAAACUUAAUUACAAUUCAAAAGUAAAAUAUAGGAUUACAUUCUAAAGAUUCCAAAUACAUCUCAUCUAUAAAAGUACAAGUACAAGAGAUUAUAUACACUAGUUCACGGCUACUUGCUCCAACCUCCAUCCCUGUAAGGAAAACAAACUAAUGGGAUGAGUUAAAAGUUCAGCGAGGUUCCCAAACAAGCAAUCAAGCAAGCAUACACGAAAACAUUUACAUUUAGCACUUUGCACACUUGGCACAGUAAUAAAUAGUCAUUCAAGAGUCAAUUAUUCAUUCAUUGAAAGGAUACAUGCUCACUUGAAGCCAUUCAUUCAUUCAUUCGCCAACCAUUUUCCUUAUCCCUCCGACAUUAGAAAACAUUUGCAAGUAAAAACUCAUUCAGUGCUCAUGUCAUUCAUUCAUUUAUUUUUAUUGCAUUGAAUUCACUGGUCAGUUCUCCACCAGAUUUCGUGGUAAUACUUGAGUAUACCAAACAUUGUCCCAGGGUCACCAGCCGCCCAACCGAGUCCGCUUCUGGCUCGAUUUGACCGUCAACGAAGAGCAAGGGCCCAAUUCAGCCAAAAGGCUUACAUUCAUACACAAGUAGCAUUCAAUCAUUGAAAAUUCACUUUUGCGUGGGUCGAGUGCGAUAAAGUACAUACUCGUCCAUCGAAAAUCCAUUUAGCAAUCAUUGGAAAGCAUUUAACAUUUAGACAACAUUCCACAUAGUCAUUUAAAGCAUACACAUGCAAGGAACACUUACUAAUAAUUAAUGUUAAGCAAAAUCAGGUUGAGGCUGUGACGCCCCCACUUCUCCCUAAGGCGAACCAAAGGGUAUCCGCGGAACGCCUGCCUAACUCUCGCCAGGACUCAAGCAAUUCCAUUCAAGCUUAUUACCGGACCACACAAUACGAGUCAAUAACUUAGAUACAAUAAAUGCGGAAGCGUUCAAGUUUAAUGAAAGUCAUCCGUUAUCCGACCCGCACAUCGGGUGUUCAACAACCAUUAUAUAUAUCUCAAAUAUACAUCAUGCUCCAAAAGUUACAUUCGGAUUCCAAAAUACAAUCCAAAAGCCAACACAUAGUCAAAAGUAAUAGAAACCCUAAACAAAAGUGUAUUAGGAAGGUUUCUUCGAUACCUCGCCAAGUUCAAUCCUGUUAAGGAAAACAAAUCUACAGGGUGAGCAAAACGCUCGUGAGGCCAAGAACACACAUGCAGACACAUAGUUCAGAUAACAAGCCCAAAUACAAUUCAGGUAAUAGCUUGCAAGUAAUUAAUAACGCCGACAAAAUGUAACCAGAAACAAUUCAAGGAUAUGGAAGCUCUCAGGAGCUAAGUUCCACAUUUGCCGAUGUCAUUUGUAUAUCUCCCCGUGAUGACUCUCCGUCAACCGGGUUGAUAUUUUCAUAUCCGUAGUUCACCACUUACUUCUCAUCCGUCCACCAUACACCACUUCGGGCCCGCACGACAUUUAUAAGGCGAUACUUUACGAGUAUGCCAAGCGAGAUCUCUCAAUAGAUCAAGCUUAUCAUGUGAAUCUCAUGGUUCACCGAGGUUCCCGACCAAGCCCAUGCCGGCUCGAGUUCCAAGGUCGGCCUAUGAGUUUGGGCGUCCCCCAUGUAUCAUGUAAAUGUCGAGGAGAUUCACUCCAUCGACGUAUGCAAUCAUAGCAUACCAUUUCAUGCAUUCAAGCAUUUGACAUGUUUAAGCAGGCAUUUCAAGUCAUGUAAACCAGGCAAAUCAUGUUAGACAUGAGUCAUUCGUGCCAAAUGAGAACGAGUGCGAUUAAGUACACACUCGACUCCAUUUUUUUCAAAAUCAAAUAGACUAAGCAUGUAAUCAGGUAAGUCAAGCAUGAAUCAAGACUUUAGAGUUCAAGUAGGCAUACACUUGACACUCACCAGUUAUGCAAGCAAGUAGGUUGGAGGGAGAGUUCAAACUUCCACGGUAGGGUCCUCUUGGAGGUCCUCGUGCGUGC